ensembl:rRNA 5S_rRNA 5S ribosomal RNA
GCCAGCAGCCAUAUCACCCCGCAGCCCAAUACUGGUUGCACACUGAAGCAAAGCAGGGUUGAGCCUGGUCAGUACCUGGAUGGGAGACCUCCUGGGAAAACUAGGUUGCUACUGGAA